AGCGGCACGCGAGCUGGGUUUAGAACGUCGUGAGACAGUUCGGUCCCUAUCCACCGCGCGCGUAGGAGACUUGCGGAGUUCUGUCCCUAGUACGAGAGGACCGGGACGGACGGACCUCUGGUGUGCCAGUUGUCCCGCCAGGGGCAUGGCUGGUUAGCUACGUUCGGAAGGGAUAACCGCUGAAUGCAUCUAAGUGGGAAGCCCGCUCCUAGAUGAGGUCUCCCACGGGGACAACCCGGUAAGGCCCCCAGUGAGACGACUGGGUUGAUAGGCCGGAGGUGGAAGCCCCGCGAGGGGUGGAGCUGACCGGUACUAAUCGGCCGAGGGCUUGCCCUACCCCACAAUC
rnacentral:rRNA from 1 species